GUCAGGAUGGCCGAGCGGUCUAAUGCGUCGUUCAGGACUUCUGUGGGCGUGGGUUCGAAUCCCACUUCUGACA